rnacentral:rRNA from 1 species
AUUGAACGCUGGCGGCAUGCUUUACACAUGCAAGUCGAACGGUAACAGGCCUUCGGGUGCUGACGAGUGGCGAACGGGUGAGUAAUGCAUCGGAACGUACCCAGAGGUGGGGGAUAACGCAGCGAAAGCUGUGCUAAUACCGCAUGUGAUCUGAGGAUGAAAGCGGGGCACCGAGCAGCAAUGUUUGGCCUCGCGCCUUUGGAGCGGCCGAUUUCGGAUUAGCUAGUUGGUGGGGUAAAGUCCUACCAAGGCGACGAUCCGUAGCUGGUCUGGGAGGACGACCAGCCCACCUGGGACUGGAACCCGGCCCAAACUCCUACGGGAGGGCGCAGGGGGGAAUGUUGGACAAAGGGCGGAAACCUGAUCCAGGAAAGCCGCGUGGGGGAAGAAGGGCUUCGGGUUGGAAACCGCUUUUGGCAGGAACGAAACGGUGUCCGCUAAUACCGGGCGCUAAUGACGGUACCUGCAGAAUAAGCGCCGGCUAACUACGUG